UACGUAGGUGGCAAGCGUUGUCCGGAUUUACUGGGCGUAAAGAGCGCGCAGGCGGUCGUGCAAGUCGCGUGUGAAAGCCCCCGGCUCAACUGGGGAGGGUCACGCGAUACUGCUCGACUCGAAGGCAGGAGAGGGAAGUGGAAUUCCCGGUGUAGUGGUGAAAUGCGUAGAGAUCGGCAGGAACACCCAGGGGGAAACCAGUCGACUGGGCAGCAGCUGACGCUGAGGUGCGAGAGCGUGGGGAGCGAACCGG
rnacentral:rRNA from 1 species